GACGAACGCUGGCGGCGCGCUUAACACAUGCAAGUCGAGCGAAGCGGCGUACGGGUGAGUAACACGUGAGUAACCUGCCUUAGACAUUGGGAUAGCCUCGGGAAACCGGGAUUAAUACCAAAUGGUCUAAGAUGGACUCGCGUCCCAUUAGCUAGUUGGUGGGUAACGGCCCACCCAGGCGAGGAUGGGUAGCCGGCAGGAGAGGGUGAACGGCCACAUUGGAACGGGGAAACGGUCCAAACUCUACGGGAGGCAGGAGUGGGUAAUAUUGCACAAUGGAGGGAACUCUGAAGCAGCGAGGCCGCGGGAACGAAGAAGGCUUUCGAGUCGUAAAGUUCUUUUAUAUGGGAAGCGGUACCAGAAGAAAAAGCCCCGGCUAACUACGUGCCAGCAGCCGCGGUAAUAC
rnacentral:rRNA from 1 species